CUCACUCUUUCUAGGUUGGACCUGAAAAUGCUUCACAGGUUAUUUUGUCCAGUCCCGUACUGAAUGAAGGGGAGCUUGAGUCCUUGCUAAAUGAUCCCUCUUUGAAA